AUCAUAACAAAAAUAAAUUAUCCUCAAAAAAUUAACAACUAGAGUCAAGAAAUUAUAAGCGUACAAAAUGUCAAUUGCUAUAAACUUAUAACAAAAUAAAAUACAGAAUCUUUCAUCACUUGCGUCGUCGAAUACUCAUCUUGUUUCGCUCGUGUUCUCUGAAAAGUGACGUAGGUAACACGAUGUUAUUACUCAAGUCUCGAACGGUCCGACCAACACAUACAUAGUCGUCUCCUGUUAACGAACUAUGGAAAACACCAUGACUUUCUAUAGGAACAUUUGGUUGGCUAUGAAAUAGAGGUGCUGUUUGGCUAUAUGUAAGUAUGUAACGUGGGUGUUGGCUGGCUUUGUAGUGUAGGUGUUGUCUCCACAGAUUGUUCUUCACUCAUCUGAUGUUUUGAUGGACGACCUCGAGGCUUUUUUGGAGGAAUAAUCGCUAUUUCAUUUGAGCAUGUUCGCUUGGUAUGUCCUUUUUGAAGACACUUGCUACAUGUCUGAAAAAAUACAAACCACAUCAACACAUUUAGAAUAGCUUGAAUUCAUGCUC
rnacentral:lncRNA from 1 species